GAUUAAGUUAUUAAGGGCGCACGGUGGAUGUCUUGGCACUAGAAGCCGAUGAAGGACGUUACUAACGACGAUAUGCUUUGGGGAGCUGUAAGUAAGCUUUGAUCCAGAGAUUUCCGAAUGGGGAAACCCAGCAUGAGUUAUGUCAUGUUAUCGAUAUGUGAAUACAUAGCAUAUCAGAAGGCACACCCGGAGAACUGAAACAUCUUAGUACCCGGAGGAAGAGAAAGAAAAUUCGAUUCCCUUAGUAGCGGCGAGCGAAACGGGAAGAGCCCAAACCAACAAGCUUGCUUGUUGGGGUUGUAGGACACUCUAUACGGAGUUACAAAGGACGACAUUAGACGAAUCAUCUGGAAAGAUGAAUCAAAGAAGGUGAUAAUCCUGUAGUUGAAAAUGUUGUCUCUCUUGAGUGGAUCCUGAGUACGACGGAGCACGUGAAAUUCCGUCGGAAUCUGGGAGGACCAUCUCCUAAGGCUAAAUACUCUCUAGUGACCGAUAGUGAACCAGUACCGUGAGGGAAAGGUGAAAAGCACCCCGGAAGGGGAGUGAAAUAGAACCUGAAACCGUGUGCUUACAAGUAGUCAGAGCCCGUUAAUGGGUGAUGGCGUGCCUUUUGUAGAAUGAACCGGCGAGUUACGAUUUGAUGCAAGGUUAAGCAGUAAAUGUGGAGCCGUAGCGAAAGCGAGUCUGAAUAGGGCGUUUAGUAUUUGGUCGUAGACCCGAAACCAGGUGAUCUACCCUUGGUCAGGUUGAAGUUCAGGUAACACUGAAUGGAGGACCGAACCGACUUACGUUGAAAAGUGAGCGGAUGAACUGAGGGUAGCGGAGAAAUUCCAAUCGAACCUGGAGAUAGCUGGUUCUCUCCGAAAUAGCUUUAGGGCUAGCCUCAAGUGAUGAUUAUUGGAGGUAGAGCACUGUUUGGACGAGGGGCCCCUCUCGGGUUACCGAAUUCAGACAAACUCCGAAUGCCAAUUAAUUUAACUUGGGAGUCAGAACAUGGGUGAUAAGGUCCGUGUUCGAAAGGGAAACAGCCCAGACCACCAGCUAAGGUCCCAAAAUAUAUGUUAAGUGGAAAAGGAUGUGGCGUUGCCCAGACAACUAGGAUGUUGGCUUAGAAGCAGCCAUCAUUUAAAGAGUGCGUAAUAGCUCACUAGUCGAGUGACACUGCGCCGAAAAUGUACCGGGGCUAAACAUAUUACCGAAGCUGUGGAUUGUCCUUUGGACAAUGGUAGGAGAGCGUUCUAAGGGCGUUGAAGCAUGAUCGUAAGGACAUGUGGAGCGCUUAGAAGUGAGAAUGCCGGUGUGAGUAGCGAAAGACGGGUGAGAAUCCCGUCCACCGAUUGACUAAGGUUUCCAGAGGAAGGCUCGUCCGCUCUGGGUUAGUCGGGUCCUAAGCUGAGGCCGACAGGCGUAGGCGAUGGAUAACAGGUUGAUAUUCCUGUACCACCUAUAAUCGUUUUAAUCGAUGGGGGGACGCAGUAGGAUAGGCGAAGCGUGCGAUUGGAUUGCACGUCUAAGCAGUAAGGCUGAGUAUUAGGCAAAUCCGGUACUCGUUAAGGCUGAGCUGUGAUGGGGAGAAGACAUUGUGUCUUCGAGUCGUUGAUUUCACACUGCCGAGAAAAGCCUCUAGAUAGAAAAUAGGUGCCCGUACCGCAAACCGACACAGGUAGUCAAGAUGAGAAUUCUAAGGUGAGCGAGCGAACUCUCGUUAAGGAACUCGGCAAAAUGACCCCGUAACUUCGGGAGAAGGGGUGCUCUUUAGGGUUAACGCCCAGAAGAGCCGCAGUGAAUAGGCCCAAGCGACUGUUUAUCAAAAACACAGGUCUCUGCUAAACCGUAAGGUGAUGUAUAGGGGCUGACGCCUGCCCGGUGCUGGAAGGUUAAGAGGAGUGGUUAGCUUCUGCGAAGCUACGAAUCGAAGCCCCAGUAAACGGCGGCCGUAACUAUAACGGUCCUAAGGUAGCGAAAUUCCUUGUCGGGUAAGUUCCGACCCGCACGAAAGGCGUAACGAUUUGGGCACUGUCUCAACGAGAGACUCGGUGAAAUCAUAGUACCUGUGAAGAUGCAGGUUACCCGCGACAGGACGGAAAGACCCCGUGGAGCUUUACUGUAGCCUGAUAUUGAAAUUCGGCACAGCUUGUACAGGAUAGGUAGGAGCCUUUGAAACGUGAGCGCUAGCUUACGUGGAGGCGCUGGUGGGAUACUACCCUAGCUGUGUUGGCUUUCUAACCCGCACCACUUAUCGUGGUGGGAGACAGUGUCAGGCGGGCAGUUUGACUGGGGCGGUCGCCUCCUAAAAGGUAACGGAGGCGCUCAAAGGUUCCCUCAGAAUGGUUGGAAAUCAUUCAUAGAGUGUAAAGGCAUAAGGGAGCUUGACUGCGAGACCUACAAGUCGAGCAGGGUCGAAAGACGGACUUAGUGAUCCGGUGGUUCCGCAUGGAAGGGCCAUCGCUCAACGGAUAAAAGCUACCCCGGGGAUAACAGGCUUAUCUCCCCCAAGAGUUCACAUCGACGGGGAGGUUUGGCACCUCGAUGUCGGCUCAUCGCAUCCUGGGGCUGUAGUCGGUCCCAAGGGUUGGGCUGUUCGCCCAUUAAAGCGGUACGCGAGCUGGGUUCAGAACGUCGUGAGACAGUUCGGUCCCUAUCCGUCGUGGGCGUAGGAAAUUUGAGAGGAGCUGUCCUUAGUACGAGAGGACCGGGAUGGACAUACCUCUGGUGUACCAGUUGUCGUGCCAACGGCAUAGCUGGGUAGCUAUGUGUGGACGGGAUAAGUGCUGAAAGCAUCUAAGCAUGAAGCCCCCCUCAAGAUGAGAUUUCCCAACUUCGGUUAUAAGAUCCCUCAAAGAUGAUGAGGUUAAUAGGUUCGAGGUGGAAGCAUGGUGACAUGUGGAGCUGACGAAUACUAAUCGAUCGAAGACUUAAUCAA
rnacentral:rRNA from 1 species